rnacentral:rRNA from 1 species
CCUACGGGCGGCAGCAGUAGGGAAUAUUGCUCAAUGGGGGAAACCCUGAAGCAGCAACGCCGCGUGGAGGAUGAAGGUUUUCGGAUUGUAAACUCCUUUUGUUAGAGAAGAUAAUGACGGUAUCUAACGAAUAAGCACCGGCUAACUCCGUGCCAGCAGCCGCGGUAAUACGGAGGGUGCAAGCGUUACCCGGAAUCACUGGGCGUAAAGAGGGCGUAGGCGGGAUAGCAAGUCAGAUGUGAAAUCCUAUGGCUUAACCAUAGAACUGCAUUUGAAACUGUUAUUCUAGAGUAUGGGAGAGGUAGGUGGAAUUCUUGGUGGAGGGGUAAAAUCCGUAGAGAUCAAGAGGAAUACUCAUUGCGAAGGCGACCUGCUAGAACAUAACUGACGCUGAUGCGCGAAGGCGUGGGGAGCAAACAGGAUUAGAUACCCGUGUAGUC